GGGGGUGUAGCUCAGUGGCAGAGCACUUGCCUAUCAUGCAUGAGGACCUGGUUUCUAUCACCAGUAUCACAC
rnacentral:tRNA from 1 species